AAGCUCUACUAGGGGUGCCUUCGGGCUGAGACAAAUGCGUUUGAACCCUAGAACCUGAUCUGGACGAUACCAGCGUAGGAAAGUAGAGGGUGUAGCAU
rnacentral:ncRNA from 2 species